rnacentral:rRNA from 1 species
GAGCGGGCCCUUCGGGGUCAGCGGCGGACGGGUGAGUAACGCGUGGGAACGUGCCUUCUGGUUCGGAAUAACCCUGGGAAACUAGGGCUAAUACCGGAUACGCCCUUUUGGGGAAAGGUUUACUGCCGGAAGAUCGGCCCGCGUCUGAUUAGCUAGUUGGUGGGGUAACGGCCUACCAAGGCGACGAUCAGUAGCUGGUCUGAGAGGAUGAUCAGCCACACUGGGACUGAGACACGGCCCAG